AGCAUAUCAAUAAGCGGAGGAAAAGAAACUAACAAGGAUUCCCCUAGUAACUGCGAGUGAACCGGGAAAAGCUCAAAUUUUGAAUCUGGCAGUCUCAACCCUGUCCGAGUUGUAAUCUAGAGAAGCGUCUUCCGCGCUGGACCGUGUACAAGUCUCCUGGAAGGGAGCCUCAUAGAGGGUGACAAUCCCGUCUUUGACACGGACUACCAGGGCUUUAUGUGUCGCGCUCUCAACGAGUCGAGUUGUUUGGGAAUGCAGCUCAAAAUGGGUGGUAAAUUCCAUCUAAAGCUAAAUACAGGCGAGAAACCGAUAGCGAACAAGUACCGUGAGGGAAAGAUGAAAAGAACUUUGGAAAGAGAGUUAAACAGUACGUGAAAUUGCUGAAAGGGAAACGUUUGAUGUCAGUCACGUUGCUUGGGGAUCAACCUUGCUUCAUUGCCAGGUGUAUUUCUUAUUCAACGGGUCAGCAUCAGUUUCGCUCCGCUGUACAAGGGCAACAGAAAUGUGGCACUCUUCGGAGUGUGUUAUAGUCUUUUGUCAUAUCCAGCGCUCGGGACUGAGGAACUCUGCACGAUCUACUUUUGUGCAUAGGUUGCUGGCAUAAUGGCCUUAAGCGACCCGUCUUGAAACACGGACCAAGGAGUCUAACAUGCCUGCGAGUGUUUGGGUGAUAAACUCGAGUGCGAAAUGAAAGUGAAAGUUGACACCUCUGUCAUGGAGGGCAUCGACGCCCGGACCAAAGUCUACUGACAAUGGAUCUGAGGUAGAGCAUGCAUGUUGGGACCCGAAAGAUGGUGAACUAUGCCUGAAUAGGGUGAAGCCAGAGGAAACUCUGGUGGAGGCUCGUAGCGAUUCUGACGUGCAAAUCGAUCGUCAAAUUUGGGUAUAGGGGCGAAAGACUAAUCGAACCAUCUAGUAGCUGGGU
rnacentral:rRNA from 1 species